rnacentral:lncRNA from 1 species
CAACUUCUCAUUUACUUCAGUGACGAUUUCUUAUCUGGAGAACAUUCUCACUCUAAUAACAAUAUACUUGCCAUAUACAUUUCUACAGCAAGCUUUGAAUUCUUUGGUCCAGCAUGAAGGAAGACAAUCUUAAUGAGUUAAGAGGCUCUUAAAGCAGACCACAGGAAUUUCAAGAGUGAAGCUGAAUGAAACCAUGGAAAUUAAUCAGGGCUCCCAAGGAGCUGGGAGGAGACAGAAUCAGGAGAGCUCAUACAAACUGGCCGAAGGGAUAUUCCAUACCAUAUGACAUCAUGAGGAAGAAAAGUUUGGAAAGGGGUGGGAGUUCAGCUCUCACUCUUACUUCCGUUGCCUGGGAGCUAACUGGAUAUUGGUCAGUGUCUGGGUAGCAAUUGCUUGUGCAUCACUUGUUAUACAUGUUUGUGUAUAUAUAUACUUGUUUGUCAUAGCUAUUAUCUUGUUCCUUUUCUCUAUCUUAGUAAAUGGUUUUAUCUCAAUCCAUAAGUUCUAUCUACUUUGUUUUUUAUUUUUCAAUUAUCUCCCCCAUCCCACUGGGAAAGGGAGAGUGAGCAAACAGCUGUGUGGUGCUGAGCCACCUGCCAGGUUAAACCUCAACACUGCUUCGGGAGAGGAACUGAAUUCAAACUUGCCUACUAUACUUAGAUCACUCCGAAAGUAAUGCCUCCUCUUUAUUCCCAUGGAAACUACAACUACAAAGAACACAAUAACACUACUUGUUAGAGCAAAUUCUCAGCUACAAAACACUACCGUUCAACACAGUCA